AUUGAACGCUGGCGGCAUGCCUUACACAUGCAAGUCGAACGGCAGCACGGGAGCAAUCCUGGUGGCGAGUGGCGAACGGGUGAGUAAUAUAUCGGAACGUGCCCAGUAGUGGGGGAUAGCCCGGCGAAAGCCGGAUUAAUACCGCAUACGACCUGAGGGUGAAAGCGGGGGAUCGCAAGACCUCGCGCGAUUGGAGCGGCCGAUAUCAGAUUAGGUAGUUGGUGGGGUAAAAGCCUACCAAGCCUUCGAUCUGUAGCUGGUCUGAGAGGACGACCAGCCACACUGGAACUGAGACACGGUCCAGACUCCUACGGGAGGCAGCAGUGGGGAAUUUUGGACAAUGGGCGCAAGCCUGAUCCAGCAAUGCCGCGUGCAGGAUGAAGGCC
rnacentral:rRNA from 1 species